ensembl:lncRNA
UGCAGACGUUCACUGAUCAUCUUGCAGCGGAGGCAUUCUACAAGAGUGUGAUUGAACCGGACAUACCCAACCAAGGAGAUGAACAUUGAUGAUUAAGUGUGACAGGUGAAACAGCCCAUAAGGUACGUGACCAUGGAACACUGGUGCAUGUGGGAGGAUUCGAAUCAUUAAAGACUUCAUCAUGCUGUGCUUUACCUCAAAAUGGAGACUGCAGUCGAAGUGCAUAUGAGGUUGAUACAACAGCUUCCAACCUUGGAGGAAGAACCUGAUGGCAUGUGGCAGAUAUGAUCAGUCUGAGUCAGUCAUGGUGAAAGACUUUGCCGUGGCAGAGACUAACUGGUCGACUGUGGGCUCUGAAAAACCAAGGACCAAAGGCUCCAUUUUCAAUGCAAC